rnacentral:piRNA from 1 species
UGCCAAAACUGUCACUAUAAAACAGAGG